rnacentral:rRNA from 1 species
AGAGUUCGAUUCUGGCUCAGGAUGAACGCUGGCGGCGUGCCUAACACAUGCAAGUCGAGCGAUCUUCUUCGGAAGAGAGCGGCGGACGGGUGAGUAACGCGUGGGUAACCUGCCUCAUACACAUGGAUAACAUACCGAAAGGUAUGCUAAUACAAGAUGAUAUAAGAGAUUCGCAUGAAUUUCUUAUCAAAGCUUUUGCGGUAUGAGAUGGACCCGCGUCUGAUUAGCUAGUUGGUAAGGUAAUGGCUUACCAAGGCGACGAUCAGUAGCCGACCUGAGAGGGUGAUCGGCCACAUUGGAACUGAGACACGGUCCAA